UCCACAGUAGCUCAGUGGUAGAGCUAUCCGCUGUUAACCGCUCGGUCGUAGGUUCGAGUUCUACCUGUGGAGCCA
rnacentral:tRNA from 1 species